UUGAUAUCAAAGCAAAAGGCUCAUUCAUUUACUUGCAUUUGUGGUUGGGAGCAUUUCCCAAAGAGAGGUGGGGAAUUGGUGAUGGGAAAGCACAAGUCAGGCUGGAUUCCCGGCCCUGGGCUCUCCCAUCCCUCUUCUGGAGCCCUGCAGUUUGGAUCAUCGCCCUUUCCCAGAUGCCACAUCGUUUGUCCACCCUGAUAGCCUCUGUCAUGACACACCAGCCCUGGGAUAUCACAUAAGCUACAGGUCAGACCCUGCUUUCCAGACAGAAUUAUGGAGAAGACAACCAUCAUUUUGGUUCAGCCAAUCCAUACUGCACAUUGAAAGCCAUUAGUUGCUCCCACCUCUAACAGGAGCUAUAGAUAGUGGAUUUCAAGAGAGUACCAAGGUUGCUACUCCAUAAUGGCCAGAAGAGCAAGCCAAAAACAUCAGAGUAAACACAGAAACCUCACAUCUCAGGAAGGUUUGCUUAACAAAAAUAUCAAGACUUGGGAUACCUGGAAAACUGUAGAUGAAAAGAAUAUGUCUAAGAUCCUGUUAACAGCAGAGCUUAGACUGCUAGCCCUGCUGGAAAUUUUCCAUGCUCUUCAUUCAUUCUCCUGUAUUUCCUAAGGCCAAUAAAAGAGGAGAUCCCUGA
rnacentral:lncRNA from 1 species